UGGUCCCUCAUUUGAGUCCACCUGUGUAGGUUCGGACCCGAGGAACCGAGGACCCCCGCAGUGAGUCUGUCGCCCCAGUGUCUGGUCAGAGCUAUCCAGAGGUGAGUGGAAUAAACCUUUAUGUUUUUAAGCAAAUUAAUCGUAUAGUUUUGAGCAUGUUCAUGCAUCAUGAAUGCCAUGUGAUGUUUUAGGUUGUUUGCAUUAGAAUCCACGAAUAUGUUGCAUUGCACAUUUUAAUGUUGAUGUGGAUGAAUGUUGGAUGAUCCAUAGCCCUCGAUCUAUGAUAUGACGAUGUGAUAUGUACGGUACGGAAUGUAAGACCAGUGGGACCCAUUCUACGUUCGCUGGCACUAUGUAAGGGAAAGACCAGGACCCAUUCUACGUUCUGGCACAGUUGGACACUGUUAUGUUAUGAUAUGUAAGGGAAAGACCAGGACCCAUUCUACGUUCUGGCACAGUUGGACCAUGUAGAGGGCUAUUGGUGACAAGUUCAUCCUUGAUGUAAUUAGCUGUGAUGUGAUGCAUUUCAUGUUAUCAUAUGUUUUAAGUGUUUUAUUAUUCUGCUCACUGGGCUCUAGUAGCUCACCCCUCUCCCAAUUUCCCCAGGAUUGCAGGUACAGGGUAGACCAGGAGGUUUACAAGAGUAAUGAAGUCACGUGUAUGUAAUAGUUAGUGUGGACAUGAUAGAUGUAUUAAUGUUAUGUAAAAGUACAGUUUCAGUCAUGUAAUGAUAUUGAGGAUUAGAUAUUGUGCUUGACAUUGUGUAUGAG
rnacentral:lncRNA from 1 species